rnacentral:lncRNA from 1 species
GUGGUAAGACUAUUUCCUGAGAGGAGCAUUCUGAUCAAACCAGAAUAUGUCUAAAAACUUCAGCAUGCAGAAUGCUUUGAUGUGUUGUGGAAAAAAGUUUGCAGCAAGAUUUGUGUUUCUACAGUAAGUACACACAAAAGCUGUAGCUUUUCAGAUGGAAUUCUAGGUCAGAGUUGAAGAACUGCCAAGAGAUUUUGCAUGCAGAAAGAUGUUGUUAGAACAGAGUGCAAAUGGCUCAACUUGUUGAAACAAGUCAAAAC